rnacentral:rRNA from 1 species
AUUGAACGCUGGCGGCAGGCUUAACACAUGCAAGUCGAACGAGUGGCGGACGGGUGAGUAAUGCUUGGGAAUCUGGCUUAUGGAGGGGGAUAACUACGGGAAACUGUAGCUAAUACCGCGUACCAUAGGAUGAGCCCAAGUGGGAUUAGGUAGUUGGUGAGGUAAAGGCUCACCAAGCCGACGGUCUCUAGCUGGUCUGAGAGGAUGACGAGCCACACUGGGACUGAGACAGGGCCCAGACUCCUACGGGAGGCAGCAUUGGGGAAUAUUGCGCAAGGGGGGCGACAUUACGCAGCCGUGCCGCGUGAAUGAAGAAGGCCUUCGGGUUGUAAAGUUCUUUCGGUAGGGAGGCGUUAACUACAGAAGAAGCACCGGCUAACUCCGUGCCAGCCGCCGCGGUAAUUC